UCUCUCUCUCAUGUUUCUCCUCUUUUCUUCCUCACACCGAGGGUUCUUCUAGGCUUGAUCUGAUCCACCAAGAAGCUUUGGCUUCCAUCCUUGCUAUUGCUUUCAUGAUCUAUGAUCAAUAAGAGAAGAUUCGAUUCUGACAACAGCUCUACCUUCAGUGGAUAUGCAGGUGGUUUUGACAAUCACCACCAAGCAAUUCCAUAUACUCUUAUAGUACAAUUAGGCACUCAUUAUGCUUAUUUAGAGCAUGCAACAAGUUGCCACCAACCCU
rnacentral:lncRNA from 1 species